GCUCCGGUGGUCAAGUUGUUAAAGCGUCCGCCUCGGAUGCAGAAGGCUGCGGGUUUGAACCCCGGCCGAAUCA